GCAUUGGUGGUUCACUGGUAGAAUUCUCGCCUGCCACGCGGGAGACCCGGGUCCGAUUCCUGGCCAAUGCA
rfam:Danio rerio chromosome 4, GRCz11 reference primary assembly.